rnacentral:rRNA from 1 species
CCUGCUAUGGUAUAACUUAGUGGCAGACGGGUGAGUAAUGUAUAGGAAUCUACCUAGUAGUACGGAAUAAUUGUUGGAAACGGCAACUAAUACCGUAUACGCCCUACGGGGGAAAAAUUUAUUGCUAUUAUAUGAGCCUAUAUUAGAUUAGCUAGUUGGUGGAGUAAUAGCCUACCAAGGCAAUGAUCUAUAGCUGAUCUGAGAGGAUGAUCAGCCACACUGGAACUGAGAUACGGUCCAGACUUCUACGGGAGGCAGCAGUGGGGAAUAUUGGACAAUGGGCGAAAGCCUGAUCCAGCCAUGUCGCAUGAGUGAUGAAGGCUUAUGGGUUGUAAAGCUCUUUUAGUGAGGAAGAUAAUGACGGUACUCACAGAAGAAGU